GGAAGUAAAAGCGUAACAAGGUUUCCGUAGGUGAACCUGCGGAAGGAUCAUUAUUGUAUAACCGAGGUGCGAGGGCUGUCGCUGACCCGAAAGGUCGUGCACGCCCGAGUGCCCUCACACACAUCCAUCUCACCCCUAUGUGCACCACCGCGUGGGUCCCCCUUUGGCUUGUUCGGAGGGGGGCUUACGUUUUCACACAAACUUUGUAUGCAGUGUAGAAUGUAUUUUUUGUUUUUGCGAUCACGCAAUCAAUACGACUUUCAACAACGGAUCUCUUGGCUCUC
rnacentral:misc_RNA from 1 species